UAACCGUGAGGGAUUCUGGGAAUUACACCUGCACUUGGAAAACCAGCAUGACGUCAGGAUCUGAAACGAUCAGCCUUCUCGUCGAGGGUGAAAACCCUGAAAGAGAUGAAAUUCUUUCAUGGCCGUUCUGGAUCAUUGCUUUGGUGGCAGCUGGACUGAUUUUGGUAGUUGUGAUGUACAACAGGAGGUGCGUCCACACUGAUCAGCUGAAGGAGGACGAUUCAGACAUCUACACCACAGUACAGUACAGUACAUUCACCAUGAACUGAUCACACUUUCACACCUCAGUUACAGUUCAAAUUUAAAUUUUUCAUUUUAAACAGGUUUAAAGUGCUGAUCCU